UGGUGCACGGCCUGCAUAUAAUAUCUGAGCUUGUCCGAAUGUACCGUGCAUCACACUUGGGUAACCGAACGUUUGCCCAGGGGAACAGUGAGAAAUGCUUAUGGGAAUCAACUUGUUCAGUUCCCCUAUAAUAACGAGACAGAGCUCAGCCGACCUGUAGAGCUCGCUUUCCGUACUAGGAUAGUCCCUGGAAUUAAGACUAAGAUAGCAGAGCAGAUGUCAGUGAUGUAAACGUAGAUGAUGAUGUAUGUGGUUAUGUAAAUCCUUUAAGGAUAGUCUUUCAUCCUGUAGUGUAGGCCUUUGUAACGUGCUGUAAUGUACUUUUCUUUUAAUGAAGUUCUUGUUUUUUACUCAUACUUGUUCUUUCUCUGUCAUGGAUGAAGUACUGAUACUGCUUUUCUUCGUAGCUUUAGCCAACUAAAUUUUGUUUCGUUUUUUCCGAGCUGAGCUGACCAU
rnacentral:lncRNA from 1 species